rnacentral:misc_RNA from 1 species
GAUGAAGAACGUAGCGAAAUGCGAUAAGUAAUGUGAAUUGCAGAAUUCAGUGAAUCAUCGAAUCUUUGAACGCACAUUGCGCCCGUCAGUAUUCUGGCGGGCAUGCCUGUUCGAGCGUCAUUACGCCCCUCAAGUCCCCUGUGGACUUGGUGUUGGGGAUCGGCGAGGCUGGUUUUCCAGCACAGCCGUCCCUUAAAUUAAUUGGCGGUCUCGCCGUGGCCCUCCUCUGCGCAGUAGUAAAACACUCGCAACAGGAGCCCGGCGCGGUCCACUGCCGUAAAACCCCCCAACUUUUUAUAGUUGACCUUGAAUCAGGUAGGACUACCCGCUGAACUUAAGCAUAUCAAUAAGCGGAGGA